rnacentral:misc_RNA from 1 species
CAUAACUUUUUACUGGAUGUACCGAUUUUGAUAAUUCUUUUUUUGUUGGAAUGGGGAUAUCCCUAGUUUGGUACCAUGAUAAGGAAACCAGGAUCUGAUGAUGGGAUCCCAGAGAAAUCGAGGGAAACUUUCAAAAAUCGUAAGGGUGACUAGUAAAUUUAAUCAUGUUUUCAUUAAGUACUAUAAAGCACUACUAUAUAAUAAAGGUCUGGAGUCGAUCUGAUGAUGGAGAAGAAAGAUAGUCGAGGGAACUCUUCAACAAUUUAUAGCAAUUACCUGCUGUUUGAACUUAAUUCGUUUCUAUUGAUGAGAACUUUGCACCUGUAUGAGUUAUAAGUGCCAUUACAGUCUGAUGAUGGAGACAAAAGUUAGUCGAGGGAACUCUUUAACGAUUUAUAGCAAUU